GACGAACGCUGGCGGCGUGCUUAACACAUGCGAGUCGAACGGAAAGGCCCUGCUUGUGGGGGGUGCUCGAGUGGCGAACGGGUGAGUAACACGUGAGUAACCUGCCGUAGACUGUGGUAUAACUGGAGGAAACUGGGGCUAAUACCGGAUAGGAGCUCCUGCUGCAUGGGGGGGGUUGGAAAGUUUCGGCGGGUGGGGAUGGACUCGCGGCUUACUAGCUGGUGGGUGGGGUAGUGGCUUACCAAGGCUUUGACGGGUAGCCGGCCUGGGUGGGUGACCGGCCACAUUGGGCCUGGGAUACGGCCCAGACUCCUCCGGGAGCCAGCAGUGGGGAAUAUUGCACAAUGGGCGGAGGCCUGAUGCAGCACCGCCGCGUGCGGGAUGACGGCCUUCGGGUUGUAAACCGCUUUCGCCUGUGCCGAAGCGUGAGUGACGGUAAUGGGUAAAGAAGCACCGGCUAACUACGUG
rnacentral:rRNA from 1 species